rnacentral:rRNA from 1 species
CCUACGGGAGGCAGCAGUGGGGAAUAUUGCACAAUGGGGGAAACCCUGAUGCAGCGACGCCGCGUGAGUGAAGAAGUAAUUCGUUAUGUACAGCUCUAUCAGCAGGGAAGAAAAUGACGGUACCUGAGUAAGAAGCCCCGGCUAACUACGUGCCAGCAGCCGUGGUCAUACGUAGGGGGCAAGCGUUAUCCGGAUUUACUGGGUGUAAAGGGAGCGUAGACGGCAGUGCAAGUCUGGAUUGAAAGGCGGGGGCUCAACCCCCGGACUGCUCUGGAAACGGUACGGCGGGAGUGCAGGAGAGGUAAGUGGAAUGCCUAGUGUAGCGGUGAAAUGCGUAGAUAUUAGGAGGAACACCAGUGGCGAAGGCGGCUUACUGGACUGUAACUGACGUUGAGGCUCGAAAGCGUGGGGAGCAAACAGGAUUAGAUACCCUUGGAGUC